CCCAGUUUUGAGAAAACCAUCUGGCCACUGUUUAUCUCUGAUCACAUGUUCCAGAAAGGAAAAGUGCAGGUAACAAGUUGCAUCAAACCAGCUGGAAUAAGUAUGAUUGAUGUAGACUGUAUAAUACCCAGAGUCUUGGUUUAAAACAGGAAGGACUGUGGCAUUUUGCACUACAUAAGACAGCUGGGCAUUCUCAAAGAAGCACGGUAAGAGACCUGGUGGUCAGAAACAGUGUGAAAAUCUCUGUUUCUGUUUCCCCAGAGACAAGUACUUUGAAUGGAACCUAUGAAUAUUUCUGUGAUGUCUAAUCAACAGCUGGACUGGUAAAGUACAGAUGUACAGUACAGAAAGUUCCAUAUGGACUUUGAAACUCGCAUUGUUCUAAAUGGCACGAGAAUUUCACCAGAAAUGAAAAAAACAGUGAGCAGAGUCAUUGCAAAGGUAUUUAGACACUGUGCGGAGAAACACAAGGCAAGAGGCCAUCUUACUCCCAUUAGAAGAUAAGCAACUGCGAGUUUCAAGAUUUGGCUUUGUCUUGGCCAAUACCGAGAAAAAAAGUGCAAUAAAAGGACUCUGUUUAAAUCUGCAGAAACUGAGAUCCAACCCAAAGCAAGGCAGCAUGAAAAUAAGAAGCUGUGGAUCAAGCAGCUCACUAAGUGAGCUGGCCUCCUCAGCUGGACUGCCUGUUAGUCUUCACUGAACGAAAACUGCUCACCUCACUGUGAAAGACGCAGCACAAAAGCUUGACGUAGACUUGAUUCCCUCAGUGUGACCUCUUGUAUUGCCCGAGCAGAUGGAUGUCUCAUUUCUGGAUUCUGAU